GUUCUUAUAGUCAAUAAAUGAUAUAAAAUUGCAAAUUUUAAGUAAUAAUAUGAAUUAUUAAGGCUU
rnacentral:tRNA from 1 species